rnacentral:tRNA from 1 species
GGGUGCGUAGCUCAGUGGUAGAGCACACCCUUCACACGGGUGGGGUCGCAGGUUCAAUCCCUGCCGCGCCCACCA